AGCAUUGCCGAGGGCAGCACAGAGCAACCAUAGACGCCUACAAACAUAAUCAAGUUCUUCAUUCUAUGACAUAUUCGUUUAGGGACUUUUGAGAAGGCGCGUUGAAUGUCUGGCGGUGUCUGGCCCAAGUUGGUUCUUUAUUCUAUGGGCCCACGCCGACCGCGCUUUAUUCUAUGACCGCGCAAUGGUCGUGGGUGCAGUGUUUCUUGGCGGUAAACCGUGCAGUAGUGGUGGUGUGGCAUGGCGGCUUUUGGUCUCGGUGAACUCUGGUCGUGUAAGACUAGCUGUAUUUCUGAAGAAUUCGGUGGUGCUGGGAUUCAAGCGACAUAGCGCCUCGGCAAUGGAAAUACGGCCCCAGAGCUGCGGCGUCGCCGUGUCCGCCCUUUACGUAACUAUGUGGACUUGCUUGAUGGAGUUCGAGGGAUGUGCUGCAUCCUACAAGUCAUGACGGUGACUGCGUCGACCGCGCGCUGUUCAACGAGAAAUGUCUGGUUUGUCUACUGUGCUUCUUGAAACUAAAGCCUCUAAUAUAGGGGCUUUACUUGAAACGAGCAGUGCAGCCGUGCAGCGGGGGUGGUGCAGCGUCGACCGCGCGCUGUUCAACGCGAAAUGUGUGGUUUGUGUACUGUGCUUCUUGAAACAAGUGAUGCAGCUGUGCAGCGGGGUUGGUGAAGAAGCAGAGUGGCUUUGGGUCUCCAGUAGCGUGUUCACAGACAUAUGCUCCCGUUUUGGACCGCGAGAUUGUGGUGUGUACCUGGCCUAGAAUGAAGUUUACGAUACUAACACAGCUUGUUCACGUUCUUCCGUGCUAGAUGUACCAUUUGCAUGACGAUCGAGCUGAAAACGAGACCUAUACCCGUGUUAUUUGCGUUUGUGUGUCCUAAGUUACGUUGUCUUAUGCAAGUUAUGGCAGUUUUAUUACGAAGGGAGUACGGACGUAAAUAUAUAAACAUAUUUGUGUAUGUCUUAAA